rnacentral:rRNA from 1 species
AUAGCGUAUAUUAAAGUUGUUGCAGUUAAAAAGCUCGUAGUUGAAUUUCUGGCUGGACUGGUACUCGGCUUCGGUCGAUAUUAGUCUCAGUCAUCCGUAUGAGAAACCUUCUCGCUCUUAACGGGGCGGUUGGUGUAUCAUACAUUUUACUUUGAAAAAAUUAGAGUGUUUCAGGCAGGCCAUUGCUGGGAUACACAAGCAUGGAAUAAUGGAAUAGGACUUUGACCUAUUUUAUUGGUAUAUUAGGUUAAAGUAAUGAUUAAUAGGGACAGUUGGGGGCAUUAGUAUUUAAUUGUCAGAGGUGAAAUUCUUGGAUUUAUUAAAGACUAACUUAUG